GUUUUAAAGGCUUUUAUUUGUUUACACAUUCUCUAAAUUGCAGACAAAAGAUUCACUACGUGGGUAGUCAACAUUGCUAACCAAUCACAGAACAAGAUACUAACCACAGCAAGGAAGGGGUAGGGGCUUGUGACUCAGUCUUUGAGAACGUGUGAGGGUUCCAUGGGAUAUCGAGGGGUCCCAAAGACAAAGGCUGCUCGAUCCCCACGUCAUUCUUCAUCCCAUCAGCGACAGGUCUCCCUCCCAGAACCCUGUCAGGACAGGAGAAAAGGCAGCAAGAGAGGUGGGGCGGUCCUGGCACGUGGGCCACCAGUCUUCUGAAUGAAGAGCGAGUCCCGGGUCUGCUUCCAAUCUGUAGGUUCUCCUGGAGACUGUCACAAUCUGGCAGCUCUCUGGGAAGCAACAGAACCGGCAUGUCCCCUUAGGAUGGCAGGAGAUGUGGCACAGCCUCAAUCUCCAACACUGAAACACAGAGAGCUUGAUACGUCCCUUAGGGCAGAAACAUCACAGCACUUCACGUUAGGAGUCAUGAAAGAGUGAGAAUCUGACACACGUGGGAAGGGCACAUCCCCAGAGGACAGAGGGCCAAGGCGGCACACACACCUACAGACAGAGACCGCAACCACAUCACAGUAAGGAGGAGGACAGCUAACGGGGUGGGAGGCGGGAGCUUUUUGUUUGUCUGUUGCUGUCGUUGCUUUUUAGAGAAACCAGGGUGAGCCAAAUGGAGAUACUGUCUCAAGACCAUUACACACAACUUCCCAAAUCUGUAGCCCUUUUCUGUAACCUCAUGAAAGCUGUGUCAGACUCAGUCCUGGUCUGAAGUACCCAAGCAGACCAAGGCAAAAACUCAUCCACAAGAGGCAAUGCGGUAUUGGGUUCCAAGGAUCAGUGGGGAGGGCCUUCAAAGGAGCAAAAAGGGAAACCCUCUUUCAUAGGCAUUUCUCUCGCUGGAGCCCAACUCUCUUGGUCAUUCUUUUAUGACUAAGAGUCUCAGAAGGAGUUGUGGGUGUGGGGUAAAAGAGACAAGCAAGCAUGUUGGAAUGAUGGGGAUAAAAUGUUGCAGUGGCUUCCCUCUCUGGUGCCCACACCUGGAAGAAGUGAUCCCAGGUUUGCGUCGUAUCUGCAGGUCUAGAGACAUCAAUGGAGGCACUAAUUGGAGAUCUCAGUGCAUUUCCAGGGUCCCCUUUCCCAAGGCAGUCUAGAGCUAUGGAGGGGCAGUACAUUCCUAAGGCUGUGAGAUGCCCAGGGUCUCUAUUCACCAGCUGAGAAAGGGCAAUGAAGACUAAACACACCCCUUCUGCAAGUCCACACGCUCUCUGACUCAACCAGAGGGCAUCCAAGGCCUGGUGGAACCUGUGCGGGCCUGAGCUUCCUCGUGGAGCAGCGGGUAGGCAGCUCCUUCCCAGGGACCUCGUCGUCCUUCCUACCGCAGAAGCCACCUGUCAAAGCCCACCCGGAGGAAUCCCAGUGUUCAUAAAUGGAGGUGCCCUCACCAAAGCCACUGGACCAGCCUGUCCAUGAGAAGAGACACAGAGGGAUUUCAGCAACGAGAAGAAAACCAAUUUCUUUCGGCUUCUUAGCAGAGAUGUUCCAUGUCUUGGCUAUCAAAGAGAGAAACUGGGCUUAAAAAUUGCCCUCACCCUGAACCCACUUGGCGAGGGGGAGCAGACCUGGUUGAGGUCUAGUUCUGGCUUUUGUGAAUCGACCGUGUGACACACACAGCACAGCAUCAAGGCGGGAGGGCGCCUGAUCAGACUGUGUUCUCAGACUGAGAGCGCACUCAAGGGCAGGAAGGAGAUGGAGAAUUCUCAGAGCUCAGCCGCUGGCUCUCGAGCUCCCAGGCUCAUCCCUCAAGGAGCUGGGGGCCUGAAGGCUCAGGGUCCACCACUGGCUGCCUGGGGGCAGUGCUGCCAGUCUGGUGUGGAAAGGGUCCAAGUCAGAGGCCUUUGCCUCACCCCUUCCACCAGCAGGGCCAUUCAGAGGAGCCUUGGCUCAAGAGAACCUUGCCCACAGGCUUUCAAGUAGGUGAGUGGACCAAACCCCUUCAUGCUUUUCAGGCUCUCACGCACUUUAAAACCAGACUCACAGCCAAGCCUUGUGUCCCUGGCUACCUCCACAGAGAUCACCAGAAUUCCCCUCGCUGGGAGCCAUGUGCUGUCUAGGGCCCCAGAGGAGCCUUCCCUCGGGCCAGCCCCACAGAGAAGCUACAGCUCUGAGCCGACAUCCACACAUGGACAGAUACAUGCCUUCCCCCAAGCCCAGGCAUUUUGCUUGAAAGCGAGCUUGGUGUGGCUUCUUCAGGGAAUAACUCAAAGCUGAAAUCUGGCUGUGACACGUGUGGAGAAAAGGAAAGAUGAAACAAAUGGUUUAUUCCUAAUGCUGUCAACACAAACAACUGACAGUCUAAGCCAGCAUGAAGCUAGGAUCUGACAAGCACCUGGCCAAAGGUGAGCAUGGAAGGUUUGCUGAAAAGCUCUCUGAUGCUGGGUUUCAUCCCUGCACACACCAGCAGUGCCAGACACGGGCAUGGGGCAGCUGACCUUGCUGGGGUCUGGUGGAGUGUGCCCAAUCUGUGCAUGAAGCCCCCCCCACCCCAGUAGUUCCCCUCUCUGCUUUCUCUAGCAGGGACAAGACCACUGUGGGGGUCAUUUUCUGCCUCUGAUCAGGCCCUACCAAUUGCACCUCCCUGUCUUCCACCCCAAGAACCUGCAAGCAGCACUGGGGGCACUGGCUGCCCAACACACUCCAGCCCAGGUGCCUUCAUCAGCUCACCAGUUUUAAUGCUGAGGAUGCUGUCAUCCAAGGGCAUCUAGUGCUUGGAAAAGCAGAUUAAAGCAACUAGGCUGAGGUCAUCUGUUUUCUUCCCCUGACCCCUCAACCUCCACAGGAUGGAAAUCAUUGGAUGCCUCCACCUACUUGUCUUCUACUGAGGAACA
rnacentral:lncRNA from 1 species